CCUACGGGUGGCAGCAGUGAGGAAUAUUGGUCAAUGGACGAGAGUCUGAACCAGCCAAGUAGCGUGAAGGAUGACUGCCCUAUGGGUUGUAAACUUCUUUUAUAUGGGAAUAAAAUGUUCCACGUGUGGGAUUUUGUCUGUACCAUAUCAAUAAGGAUCGGCUAACUUCGUGCCAGCAGCCGCGGUAAUACGGUGGAUCCGAGCGUUAUCCGGAUUUAUUGGGUUUAAAGGGAGCGUAGGUGGAUUGUUAAGUCAGUUGUGAAAGUUUGCGGCUCAAUCGUAAAAUUGCAGUUGAAACUGGCAGUCUUGAGUACAGUAGAGGUGGGCGGAAUUCGUGGUGUAGCGGUGAAAUGCUUAGAUAUAACGAAGAACUCCGAUUGCGAAGGCAGCUCACUGGACUGCAACUGACACUGAGGCUCGAAAGUGUGGGUAGCAAACAGGAUUAGAGACCCUUGUAGUC
rnacentral:rRNA from 1 species